rnacentral:rRNA from 1 species
AACGAACGCUGGCGGCGCGCCUAAUACAUGCAAGUCGAGCGAGAAGGUGUAGCAAUACACUUGUAAAGCGGCGAACGGGUGAGGAAUGCAUGGGUAACCUACCCUCGAGUGGGGAAUAACUAGCCGAAAGGUUAGCUAAUACCGCAUACGUUUCCGGAACUUCGGUUUCGGAAAGAAAGCAAUACCGUGGGUAUUGCGCUCCUGGAUGGGCUCAUGUCCUAUCAGCUUGUUGGUGAGGUAACGGCUCACCAAGGCUUCGACGGGUAGCUGGUCUGAGAGGACGAUCAGCCACACUGGCACUGCGACACGGGCCAGACUCCUACGGGAGCAGCAGUAAGGAAUAUUGCGCAAUGGACGAAAGUCUGACGCAGCAACGCCGCGUGGGGGGAUGAAGGUCUUCGGAUUGUAAACCCCUUUCGGGAGGGAAGAUGGAGUGGGUAACCACUUGGACGGUACCUCCAGAAGCAGCCACGGCUAACUUCGUGCCAGCAGCCGCGGUAAU